rnacentral:snRNA from 15 species
AGGCAUUGGCUGUUGUGCGUGAUGAGGGUGUUGAAGAGGAUGAGAUGCCCGUGGAGCAAUUUGCACAACCACAUGUUGUUCUGGCUACAGCAGUGGUUUUGGAUUGCUCGCAGAAUGUGGAGCUGUUGCAGGAACAAGCUGACGAGCAGGUUGGCAAGGAAGCAGGCAGUGAAGAGGCAAUGGGCUUGGCAGAGGGGCAG